AUAUAGAUAAUGUGCCUCUUAGUCUGGGAUAGCCAUUGGAAACGAUGAUUAAUACUAGAUACUCCUUCUAACUCUAAUGUUAGUCGGGAAAGUUUCUCGUCUAAGAGAUCAGUCUAUAUCCCAUCAGCUAGUUGGUAGUGUGAGAGACUACCAAGGCAAUGACGGGUAGCGGGUUUGAGAGGAUGAUCCGCCACACUGGUACUGAGACACGGACCAG
rnacentral:rRNA from 1 species